rnacentral:rRNA from 1 species
UACGAAGGGGGCUAGCGUUGUUCGGAAUUACUGGGCGUAAAGCGCACGUAGGCGGCUUUCUAAGUCGGGGGUGAAAUCCUGGAGCUCAACUCCAGAACUGCCUUCGAUACUGGAGAGCUCGAGUCCGGGAGAGGUGAGUGGAACUGCGAGUGUAGAGGUGAAAUUCGGUAGAAUUAUUCGCAAGAACACCAGUGGCGAAAGGCAGGCCUCGCUGGCCCGGGUGA